rnacentral:rRNA from 1 species
AGAAUCAACGCUGGCGGCGUGCCUAACACAUGCAAGUCGAACGAGAAAGUGGAGCAAUCCAUGAGUAAAGUGGCGACCGGGUGAGUAACACGUGACUAACCUACCCUCGAGUGGGGAAUAACAUCGGGAAACCGAUGCUAAUACCGCAUAACAUCGCAAGAUCAAAGCCGAAAGGCGCUUGAGGAGGGGGUCGCGGCUGAUUAGCUAGUUGGUAGGGUAAUGGCCUACCAAGGCUUAGAUCGGUAGCCGGCCUGAGAGGGCGCACGGCCACACUGGAACUGAAACACGGUCCAGACUCCUACGGGAGGCAGCAGUGGGGAAUUUUGCGCAAUGGGGGAAACCCUGACGCAGCAACGCUGCGUGGAGGAUGAAGUCCCUUGGGACGUAAACUCCUUUCGACCGGGACGAUACUGACGGUACCGGAUGAAGAAGCACCGGCUAACUCUGCGCCAGCAGCCGC